rnacentral:rRNA from 1 species
UACGAAGGGGGCUAGCGUUGCUCGGAAUGACUGGGCGUAAAGGGCGCGUAGGCGGACUGCUUUGUCGGGCGUGAAAUUCCAGGGCUCAACCUUGGGGCUGCGUUCGAGACGGGUAUUCUAGAGUGGGGAAGAGGGUCGUGGAAUUCCCAGUGUAGAGGUGAAAUUCGUAGAUAUUGGGAAGAACACCGGUGGCGAAGGCGGCGACCUGGUCCGAUACUGACGCUGAGGCGCGAAAGCGUGGGGAGCAAACAGG